GUAGGGGGCAAGCGUUGUCCGGAUUCAUUGGGCGUAAAGAGCGUGUAGGCGGCCAGGUAGGUCGGUUGUGAAAACUGGAGGCUCAACCUUCAGACGUCGACCGAAACCAUCUGGCUAGAGUCCGGGAGAGGAGAGUGGAAUUCCUGGUGUAGCGGUGAAAUGCGCAGAUAUCAGGAAGAACACCCGUGGCGAAAGCGGCUCUCUGGAACGGUACUGACGCUGAGACGCGAAAGCGUGGGGAGCGAACAGGAUUAGAUACCCUGGUAGUCCACGCCGUAAACGAUGGGCGCUAGGUGUGGGAGGUGUCGACUCCUUCCGUGCCGAAGCUAACGCAUUAAGCGCCCCGCCUGGGGAGUACGGCCGCAAGGCUAAA
rnacentral:rRNA from 1 species